GCCCCGAGGGAUGCUCCUGGUCAGCCUCGCAGGAAACUAACCUUUUUAAACACCUGCCUUAAAGGCGCAGUGCAGUAUUUUCCCCCUGCUUUUUCUAACACAAGAAGAAACGCUGUAUACGUGCAAGCAAAACAGCCCAUGAGGAUUUCCAGCAGAUACAGUAAGUUUCAAGAUUGUGGGGGAAAAAACAAAGGAAAUAUUUUGCAGCUACAAGCCCUGAAAGACUGAAAACAAUAGAUCUGUCAUCAAUUCAAUAUCACGGAAGGAAAAUCUGUCAUUGUGAGACAUCCAGCGAACUCUAAGCCAAAGCUGUAAGACUGGACUGAAGCAAAAAAGGUCAUGGGAGGAAUGGACAAUAUACACAGUUGUUAACAGGUAGAAGUCGAGACCUCACUUCCACACAGGGAGUUCAGCCCACAUGUCCAAGAGCCUGGGGAUUUUUAAAAAUUA
rnacentral:lncRNA from 1 species